UUAUAUAUGGAGGUUCUGUAAAUGCAGCCAAUUGUGCCGAGCUAGCAAAGAAAGAAGAUAUUGACGGCUUCCUUGUUGGUGGUGCCUCUUUGAAGGGUCCGGAUUUUGCCACUAUUAUCAACUCGGUGACUUCCAAGAAAGUUGCAGCCUGAUGUAACCCUUCUGUAGAAAUAAAUGACCCAGAGGCAGCGAGACGGCUACCACACCAUAUUGCUUGAUAGAGAUACUUCGUGUUCAAUCACCGUGCUUGUUUUGGCACACGAGGG
rnacentral:misc_RNA from 1 species